AAAUUGAAGAGUUUGAUCAUGGCUCAGAUUGAACGCUGGCGGCAGGCCUAACACAUGCAAGUCGAACGGUAACAGGAAGCAGCUUGCUGCUUUGCUGACGAGUGGCGGACGGGUGAGUAAUGUCUGGGAAACUGCCUGAUGGAGGGGGAUAACUACUGGAAACGGUAGCUAAUACCGCAUAACGUCGCAAGACCAAAGAGGGGGACCUUCGGGCCUCUUGCCAUCGGAUGUGCCCAGAUGGGAUUAGCUAGUAGGUGGGGUAACGGCUCACCUAGGCGACGAUCCCUAGCUGGUCUGAGAGGAUGACCAGCCACACUGGAACUGAGACACGGUCCAGACUCCUACGGGAGGCAGCAGUGGGGAAUAUUGCACAAUGGGCGCAAGCCUGAUGCAGCCAUGCCGCGUGUAUGAAGAAGGCCUUCGGGUUGUAAAGUACUUUCAGCGG
rnacentral:rRNA from 1 species